CCUGACCUGGUUUCCCAGGCUUGUGGGAAGGGCCGCCCGCCCCCGCGCGCGGCGGCGGUGAGGGGAGCCCGCAGGGCGGGCGGCGGCCGCGCUGGCAGCCGGCGUUGUGUGCAGGGCACGUGUGGGGAGCCGCCCGGGGGGGACAUUUCCUCCGAGCCCGCGGGGCCGCGCCCGGGACCGGGAAAGGCGCGCGCCCGCCGCAGCGGGGAGGGGGCGCGCGCUCCCUGCGGGGGAAGGGAGGGGAUGCCGCGCGCGUGCGCCCUUCGCCCGCUGUGGGGCGCGUGCGCGCCUGUGUGCGUGUGCGUGUAGCCGCGCUCGGAGCGGCGCGGCGGUCGGGAGGCUUGCGCGAUGACGUCACGACGGCGCGCGCAGGACGUAACCCCGGCGUGACGCACAGCCCGGCGAGCCCGCAGGGAGCUUUGAGACAGUUGCAGAUUGAUUGGGGAACUCUGAAUCAAAAAGCUGUGAAUGAAAUGAGGUUUGUUUUAAUGUGGAAGUGGAUCUUACAGCAUAAUGUAAAUCAAACAAGCAAAGGAAAAAAGGAUGUCCAAAGUGGUCUUCCUGGAUUUCGAUAAAGGACCAUUGCAGGAAGCCAUGGAUAUUAGUUUAUAAAUGUAC
rnacentral:lncRNA from 1 species